rnacentral:rRNA from 1 species
GAAAGGGAAACAGGUUAAUAUUCCUGUACUAUAUCAAGGAGGUAAAGUGGUAACACAACUGAACUCAAAUACAUCAGUAGAAUAACCAGGAAGAGUUCUCUUUUCUUUUUAACGACUUCUCCGCAAGGGGUGUAUAAUGACCAUGGAAUCAAUUUAGUUGGAGAAAUGGUUAAAGAGUCGGUAGAGUAAAUCAAUUUCUGAUUUAUCUGGUUAGGUUCUAAUGGUACAUAAAAAUUUGAGGGAAUGAUCUUACUUGAAUAGUCGUACUCAUAACCGCAGCAGGUCUCCAAGGUUAGAAGCCUCUAGUUGGCAGAAUAAUGUAGGUAAGGGAAGUCGGCAAAAUAGAUCUGUAACUUCGGGAAAAAGAUUGGCUCUAAAGGCUGAGUAUAUGGGCUAUAUCAGUAAGUUGUUGGAGAUUAGGUUGUUACGAUUGGCUGUCAUGGUUGGUUGUGAUGACUUAGUUGAAGGUGAUGGAUGGGUGUAGGCAACUGUCAAAGGUUGUGCUGUAUACAAUUAACAGCUAAUUUAGAACUGUUACUGACCAGGG